rnacentral:ribozyme from 1 species
UACCCGGCAACCCCUAUCCCUACAUCAUCGUGGUACUGGCCAAGAUACGAGCAACCUUAGGAAAGAUCGGAUAACCAACCCCGGUGGGAACUUUGGUCGUAUGCUGACAGGGAAGG